UAUUGACAAUGAAGAGUUUGAUCCUGGCUCAGGAUGAACGCUAGCGAUAGGCUUAACACAUGCAAGUCGAGGGGCAGCAUGGUCUUAGCUUGCUAAGACUGAUGGCGACCGGCGCACGGGUGCGUAACGCGUAUGCAACUUGCCUCACAGAGGGGGAUAACCCGUCGAAAGACGGACUAAUACCGCGUACACUCUAUGUUGGGCAUCCAAUGUAGAGGAAAUGAAAUUCGCUGUGAGAUAGGCAUGCGUCCCAUUAGCUAGUUGG
rnacentral:rRNA from 2 species